rnacentral:rRNA from 1 species
AAUAGAUACCCGGGUAGUCCACGCCCUAAACGAUGUCAACUAGCUGUUGGGGGCUUCGGCCCUUGGUAGCGCAGCUAACGCGUGAAGUUGACCGCCUGGGGAGUACGGUCGCAAGAUUAAAACUCAAAGGAAUUGACGGGGACCCGCACAAGCGGUGGAUGAUGUGGAUUAAUUCGAUGCAACGCGAAAAACCUUACCUACCCUUGACAUGUCUGGAAGGCUUAAGAGAUUGAGCUGUGCUCGCAAGAGAACCGGAACACAGGUGCUGCAUGGCUGUCGUCAGCUCGUGUCGUGAGAUGUUGGGUUAAGUCCCGCAACGAGCGCAACCCUUGUCAUUAGUUGCUACGAAAGGGCACUCUAAUGAGACUGCCGGUGACAAACCGGAGGAAGGUGGGGAUGACGUCAAGUCCUCAUGGCCCUUAUGGGUAGGGCUUCACACGUCAUACAAUGGUCGGGACAGAGGGUCGCCAACCCGCGGGGGGGUAGCCAAUCCCAGAAACCCGAUCGUAGUCCGGAUCGCAGUCUGCAACUCGACUGCGU